CCUACGGGAGGCAGCAGUGGGAAUAUUGCACAAUGGGGGAAAACCUGAUGCAGCGACGCCGCGUGAGUGAAGAAGUAAUUCGUUAUGUAAAGCUCUAUCAGCCGGGGAGAAAAUGACGGUACCUGAGUAAGAAGCCCCGGCUAACUACGUCCCAGCAGCCGCGGUAAUACGUUGGGGGCCAGCGUUAUGCGGAUUUACUGGGUGUAAGGGGAGCGUAGACGGCAGUGCAAGUCUGGAGGGAAAGGCGGGGGCUCAACCCCCGGACUGCUCUGGAAACUGUACGGCGGGAGUGCAGGAGAGGUAAGUGGAAUUCCUAGUGUAGCGGGGAAAUGCGUAGAUAUUAGGAGGAACACCAGUGGCGAAGGCGGCUUACUGGACUGUAACUGACGUUGAGGCUCGAAAGCGUGGGGAGCAAACAGGAUUAGAUACCCGAGUAGUC
rnacentral:rRNA from 1 species